GCGCAGCCGGCGUGGGGCGGCCGUCGGCAGGAGGGGGGUGACUCGCCGAUAAGAAGAGAGUCAAACCGGUGGUCGGCGGUGACCACCGGCGCCGGUAAUCAAAGGAAAAACGGUCAAAAAUGAAAGUUACUUCCGCAACAAAAUCCGACAACUCCGGUCGCCGGCGAGCAUGCACAUCGGCACGGGAAGGAAGUGGGAGA
rnacentral:lncRNA from 1 species